rnacentral:misc_RNA from 1 species
GAUGAAGAACGUAGCGAAAUGCGAUAAGUAAUGUGAAUUGCAGAAUUCAGUGAAUCAUCGAAUCUUUGAACGCACAUUGCGCCCCUUGGUAUUCCGAGGGGCAUGCCUGUUCGAGCGUCAUUAUAACCCCUCAAGCUCAGCUUGGUGUUGGGGCCUGCCGCACGGGCAGCCCUUAAAAUCAGUGGCGGUGCCAUCUGGCUCUAAGCGUAGUAAUUCUUCUCGCUAUAGAGUCCCGGUGGAUGCUUGCCAUUAACCCCCAACUUUCUUAGAGUUGACCUCGGAUCAGGUAGGAAUACCCGCUGAACUUAAGCAUAUCAAUAAGCGGAGGA